ensembl:lncRNA
GUGUUAGAUGACUGACAAGAUCUAUGGGGGGGGGCCCCCUUUGGGCCCCCCCAUACCAACUUAGUCUGCAAAGGAAUGUAGUGCCAUGGGACUCCAGUGUCUUCAAAACAUACUCGGAAUACAUGUGUAUGAAGGGUCCACCGAAGGGGUUGAUCUGGAAGCCACCACGGUCCACGCAGUAAUCUGCUGCGUGGGCCGUAGUGGCUUCCAGAGCCAUCUUUCGGUCUUGGUCAGGAUUUGUUACAGUUGCCCUUCAAUGUAGCAGGCUACGGGUUUCUGAAGAAGCCUGCUUUACGUAGCAUUGGAGUACAAAUAUUGUGCAAAAUUCUCAUGUAAUUGCACUAGCACUAGUAACCUGUAGAUUAGCUUAGUUUAACGUCAUUCCGUGCUGUCUCUGUCAAAUGUGUGGCUUACUUUAAGUCCACAAGGCCCUCUGGUAAACCACGUUGGAACACCCCUGGACAAGGUGAUUAGUCACUGGGUGUGUGCUAAAUUUUUGUUCCAUUUUUCACUAGUUGGUUAAUGUUUGGUAGAAUUGUUUGGAUGCUAGCGACGUGAUGGCGUAUGUACAAGAGCCUACCGUGGCCAGGCCACAGUUGCGACGGCCACGGCCAGAUGGCCUAGUGUGAGUGCAACCUUGAUUGCAUUUGUAUACUGUUUACCAUUGGAUGUUUAUGCAAUUUGGCUUAAUUCAUCCGCAGUAAAGCUGCAUUUGACUAUUCCAGGGUCGUUUUGUACAGGCUUUCAAUUGACCAUGUUGACUAGUUUGUGGGAAGUUUUUUUUUUUUAUCCUUGCUUGCAAUCCAACGGUUGUGACCACUUAUGCAACUGGGCUGUGAACCUUGCAAUUCUAGCUGCAUAUUUGUACACGCAAGCUUGUCCAUUUCUAUCGCCAUCCUAACACUAAGUUCAGCAUUUCCUUGUAGGCCAUUAGCUGACUUGUGUAUUGGAGCGAUGAUUUGGGUAUUUUAAGAUGCUUGAAAACCUAAAAUAAAGCAAAAUGCGUGUCUGGUGUGCAAGAGCCAAUUUGUUGGCUUGCACUAGUCGAGGAGUUGCCGUAGGUCGUAAGCCAUCUGGAGGUUGUGGCAAUGGAGGCUUGUGGUAGAUCUGCCAUCCAAGAAAGGUUAAUUCUUCUGAAGCAUGAUUAAUAGUUUAGUAAAUUGAAUCUAUUAAUAUAGAACUAUAAAAUCCAAGACUGCAGCCAGUAACUUGGAUCGCAAUAUGUGGAAAGUAUUAGUCUUCAUUUGUAACAACAGAAUAAUUAACACGACUAACUGGGUUUCUUCCAUUUUCUAACUAGGGGGACUUGACUGUUGAGUCUACUGGAUUAAUCAUUGGUGGUUCAACACUGAUGUCUCUCUAGGCUUGAGGGAGAGCUCACAAGUAAAUUACACGAAUGUCCUGGAGCAAUUGGGAAUACACUUUUAUUUAGUCUACCUGACCAGGGACAUCUUUGAACUAUAGGUCACCUAACCCAAACUUUUCACUCUUGUUAGGUUGUCCUUUCCUCUUGUUUUAACCCGAAAGGGCUGAAAUAUCAACAUUUCAGGUAUUCUGUUUGGAUAAUGUGCAAAACUUGUGGCUUCACUAUUAAAAAAAAUUAACAAAUGUAUUUUUCUUAAUGUGGUUAAACUAUUUAAAGACUUGUAUGCAAAAUAUUUCUGCUCAAUUUGUGGUCAAUGAAACU